rnacentral:rRNA from 1 species
AGAGUUUGAUCAUGGCUCAGAUUGAACGCUGGCGGCAGGCCUAACACAUGCAAGUCGAACGGUAACAGAAAGCAGCUUGCUGCUUUGCUGACGAGUGGCGGACGGGUGAGUAAUGUCUGGGAAACUGCCCGAUGGAGGGGGAUAACUACUGGAAACGGUAGCUAAUACCGCAUAACGUCGCAAGACCAAAGAGGGGGACCUUAGGGCCUCUUGCCAUCGGAUGUGCCCAGAUGGGAUUAGCUAGUAGGUGGGGUAAAGGCUCACCUAGGCGACGAUCCCUAGCUGGUCUGAGAGGAUGACCAGCCACACUGGAACUGAGACACGGUCCAGACUCCUACGGGAGGCAGCAGUGGGGAAUAUUGCACAAUGGGCGCAAGCCUGAUGCAGCCAUGCCGCGUGUAUGAAGAAGGCCUUCGGGUUGUAAAGUACUUUCAGCGGGGAGGAAGGGAGUAAAGUUAAUACCUUUGCUCAUUGACGUUACCCGCAGAAGAAGCACCGGCUAACUCCGUGCCAGCAGCCGCGGUAAUACGGAGGGUGCAAGCGUUAAUCGGAAUUACUGGGCGUAAAGCGCACGCAGGCGGUUUGUUAAGUCAGAUGUGAAAUCCCCGGGCUCAACCUGGGAACUGCAUCUGAUACUGGCAAGCUUGAGUCUCGUAGAGGGGGGUAGAAUUCCAGGUGUAGCGGUGAAAUGCGUAGAGAUCUGGAGGAAUACCGGUGGCGAAGGCGGCCCCCUGGACGAAGACUGACGCUCAGGUGCGAAAGCGUGGGGAGCAAACAGGAUUAGAUACCCUGGUAGUCCACGCCGUAAACGAUGUCGACUUGGAGGUUGUGCCCUUGAGGCGUGGCUUCCGGAGCUAACGCGUUAAGUCGACCGCCUGGGGAGUACGGCCGCAAGGUUAAAACUCAAAUGAAUUGACGGGGGCCCGCACAAGCGGUGGAGCAUGUGGUUUAAUUCGAUGCAACGCGAAGAACCUUACCUGGUCUUGACAUCCACGGAAGUUUUCAGAGAUGAGAAUGUGCCUUCGGGAACCGUGAGACAGGUGCUGCAUGGCUGUCGUCAGCUCGUGUUGUGAAAUGUUGGGUUAAGUCCCGCAACGAGCGCAACCCUUAUCCUUUGUUGCCAGCGGUCCGGCCGGGAACUCAAAGGAGACUGCCAGUGAUAAACUGGAGGAAGGUGGGGAUGACGUCAAGUCAUCAUGGCCCUUACGACCAGGGCUACACACGUGCUACAAUGGCGCAUACAAAGAGAAGCGACCUCGCGAGAGCAAGCGGACCUCAUAAAGUGCGUCGUAGUCCGGAUUGGAGUCUGCAACUCGACUCCAUGAAGUCGGAAUCGCUAGUAAUCGUGGAUCAGAAUGCCGCGGUGAAUACGUUCCCGGGCCUUGUACACACCGCCCGUCACACCAUGGGAGUGGGUUGCAAAAGAAGUAGGUAGCUUAACCUUCGGGAGGGCGCUUACCACUUUGUGAUUCAUGACUGGGGUGAAGUCGUAACAAGGUAACCGUAGGGGAACCUGCGGUUG